rnacentral:rRNA from 1 species
AUGAAGGAUCUAGGAGUAGCUGAUGUUAUCUUAAACAUCAAGCUGUUGAGAGAUGAGAAUGGUGGGAUCACACUGCUUCAGUCUCAUUAUGUGGAAAAGGUCUUGAGUCGUUUUGCGUAUAGCGACUGCACGCCUUCUCCAACUCCAUAUGAUGCUAGUGUGUUGCUUCGAAAGAAUCGACGGAUUGCUAGAGAUCAACUGAGGUAUUCUCAGAUUAUUGGCUCGCUUAUGUAUUUGGCGAGUGCCACGAGGCCUGACAUCUCUUUUGCUGUGAGCAAGCUGAGUCGGUUUGUGUCAAAACUGGGAGAUGAUCAUUGGCAUGCGCUUGAGAGAGUUAUGCGCUAUUUGAAAGGCACCGCGAGCUAUGGGAUUCACUACACCGGGUAUCCAAGGGUACUGGAGGGUUAUAGUGACUCAAACUGGAUAUCUGAUGCUGAUGAGAUUAAGGCCACAAGUGGUUAUGUUUUUACACUUGGUGGUGGCGCUGUUUCCUGGAAGUCUUGCAAGCAGACCAUCUUAACGAGGUCAACUAUGGAAGCAGAACUCACAGCAUUAGACACUGCCACUGUUGAAGCAGAGUGGCUUCGUGAACUCUUGAUGGACUUACCUAUGGUUGAAAAACCAAUACCCCCUAUCCUGAUGAACUGUGAUAAUCAAACUGUGAUCGUCAAGAUAAACAGUUCUAAGGACAAUAUGAAGUCCUCAAGGCAUGUGAAGAGGAGACUAAAAUCUGUCAGAAAAUUGAGGAACUCCGGAGUUAUUACGUUGGAUUAUAUCCAAACAUCGAAAAACUUGGCAGAUCCCUUCACAAAGGGUCUAUCACGUAAUGUGAUAGAUAAUGCAUCGAUGGAGAUGGGUUUGAGACCCACCGCAGAUGUUGUCCUGCAGAACAUCUUCUGA